CCGGGGAUAACAUUUUUUCGAUGUUUAUUUUUGUUUAUUUUUAUUUCAUAAUAUUUAGUUGCUUUUAACUUGUAUUCUUUUUGUCAUUAUUUUAAAAUUUUAUUUUAGGUGUUGUAUAACCCGAAGCAAUUUGGAGUUUAUUGCCUAUUUUGAUCCAGAAAUUGAAAGAACUAUUCGGAGGAGACUACGAGAACAAAGGAAUAUGGCUUUG
rnacentral:lncRNA from 1 species